rnacentral:rRNA from 1 species
GACGAACGCUGGCGGCGUGCUUAACACAUGCAAGUCGAACGGAAAGGCCCUGCUUGCAGGGUACUCGAGUGGCGAACGGGUGAGUAACACGUGGGUGAUCUGCCCUGCACGUCGGGAUAAGCCUGGGAAACUGGGUCUAAUACCGGAUAGGAGCCAUUUUUAGUGUGAUGGUUGGAAAGUUUUUUCGGUGUAGGAUGAGCUCGCGGCCUAUCAGCUUGUUGGUGGGGUAAUGGCCUACCAAGGCGGCGACGGGUAGCCGGCCUGAGAGGGUGGACGGCCACAUUGGGACUGAGAGACGGCCCAGACUCCGACGGGAGGCAGCAGUGGGGAAUAUUGCACAAUGGGCGCAAGCCUGAUGCAGCGACGCCGCGUGGGGGAUGACGGCCUUCGGGUUGUAAACUCCGUUCGCUAGGGACGAAGCUUUUUGUGACGGUACCUAGAUAAGAAGCACCGGCUAACUACGUG